rnacentral:tRNA from 1 species
CGGGGCAUGGCGCAGCCUGGUUAGCGCGCUUGCUUCGGGAGCAAGAGGUCGGGGGUUCAAAUCCCCCUGCCCCGACCA